rnacentral:rRNA from 1 species
GACGAACGCUGGCGGCGUGCCUAAUACAUGCAAGUCGAACGCAGUGGGGACGGGUGAGUAACACGUGGGUAACCUCCCAUCAGAGGGGAUAACACUUGGAAACAGGUGCUAAACCGAUACUGAUGGAUGAACCGGCGGUGCAUUAGCUAGUGGGGAUGGUCACGUCUCACCAAGGCCACGAUGCAUAGCCGACCUGAGCGGGUGAUCAGCCACACUGGGACUGAGACACGGCCCAGACUCCUACGGGAGGCAGCAGUAGGGAAUCUUCGGCAAUGGACGAAAGUCUGACCGAGCAACGCCGCGUGAGUGAAGAAGGUUGUCGGAUCGUAAAACUCUGUUGUUAGAGAAGCGGUAUCUAACCAGAAAGCCACGGCUAACUACGUGCCAGCAGCCGCGGUAAUUC